rnacentral:rRNA from 1 species
GUCCGAGAGGUGAUGCAUAGCCGAUUGCGGCGAAUUCGGUGAUCCUAUGCUGCCAAGAAAAGCCUCUAGCGAGCACGCACACGGCCCGUACCCCAAACCAACACAGGUGGUCAGGUAGAGAAUACCAAGGCGUACGAGUUAACUAUGGUUAAGGAACUCGGCAAAAUACCCCCGUAACUUCGGGAGAAGGGGGACCCCCAUACCGUCAACACCCUCGCGGUGGGCAGCGGGAGAGGGUCGCAGAAACCAGUGAGAAGCGACUGUUUACUAAAAACACAGGUCCGUGCGAAGUCGCAAGACGAUGUAUACGGACUGACGCCUGCCCGGUGCUGGAAGGUUAAGAGGACCGGUUAACCCUUCGGGGUGAAGCUGAGAAUUUAAGCCCCAGUAAACGGCGGUGGUAACUAUAACCAUCCUAAGGUAGCGAAAUUCCUUGUCGGGUAAGUUCCGACCUGCACGAAUGGCGUAACGACUUCUCAACUGUCUCAACCAUAGACUCGGCGAAAUUGCAUUACGAGUAAAGAUGCUCGUUACGCGCGGCAGGACGAAAAGACCCCGGGACCUUCACUAUAGCUUGGUAUUGAUGUUCGAUGCGGUUUGUGUAGGAUAGGUGGGAGACUGUGAAACCCGCACGCCAGUGUGGGUGGAGUCGUUGUUGAAAUACCACUCUGAUCGUAUUGGACCUCUAACUUCGAACCAUGAAACUGGUUCAGGGACAGUGCCUGGUGGGUAGUUUAACUGGGGCGGUUGCCUCCUAAAAUGUAACGGAGGCGCCCAAAGGUUCCCUCAACCUGGACGGCAAUCAGGUGUUGAGUGUAAGUGCACAAGGGAGCUUGACUGUAAGACUGACACGUCAAACAGGGACGAAAGUCGGGACUAGUGAUCCGGCACCCCCGAGUGGAAGGGGUGUCGCUCAACGGAUAAAAGGUACCCCGGGGAUAACAGGCUGAUCUUCCCCAAGAGUCCAUAUCGACGGGAUGGUUUGGCACCUCGAUGUCGGCUCGUCGCAUCCUGGGGCUGGAGCAGGUCCCAAGGGUUGGGCUGUUCGCCCAUUAAAGCGGCACGCGAGCUGGGUUUAGAACGUCGUGAGACAGUUCGGUCUCUAUCCGCCGCGCGCGUCAGAAUCUUGAGGAAACCUGUCCCUAGUACGAGAGGACCGGGACGGACGAACCUCUGGUAUACCAGUUGUUCCACCAGGAGCACGGCUGGAUAGCUACGUUCGGACAGGAUAACCGCUGAAAGCAUCUAAGCGGGAAACCUACUCCAAGACCAGGAUUCUCACCCUUUUAGAGGGAUAAGGCCCCCCGCAGACUACGGGAUUGAUAGACCAGACCUGGAAGCACCGCAAGGUGUGCAGGGAACUGGCACUAACCGGCCGAAAACUUACAACA